rnacentral:rRNA from 1 species
AUACGGAGGGGGCUAGCGUUGUUCGGAAUUACUGGGCGUAAAGCGCGCGUAGGCGGUUUUCCAAGUUGAGGGAGAAAUCCCGAGGCUCAACCUCGGAACUGCCCUCAAAACUGGAUGACUAGAGUCCGGGAGAGGUUGGCGGAAUUCCUAGUGUAGAGGUGAAAUUCGUAGAUAUUAGGAAGAACACCAGUGGCGAAGGCGGCCAACUGGACCGGUACUGACGCUAAGGUGCGAAAGCGUGGGGAGCAAACAGGAUUAGAAACCCCAGUAGUCC